GACGAACGCUAGCGGCGUGCUUAACACAUGCAAGUCGAACGGAAAGGCCCUGCUUUUGUGGGGUGCUCGAGUGGCGAACGGGUGAGUAACACGUGAGUAACCUGCCCUUGACUUUGGGAUAACUUCAGGAAACUGGGGCUAAUACCGGAUAGGAGCUCCUGCUGCAUGGUGGGGGUUGGAAAGUUUCGGCGGUUGGGGAUGGACUCGCGGCUUAUCAGCUUGUUGGUGGGGUAGUGGCUUACCAAGGCUUUGACGGGUAGCCGGCCUGAGAGGGUGACCGGCCACAUUGGGACUGAGAUACGGCCCAGACUCCUACGGGAGGCAGCAGUGGGGAAUAUUGCACAAUGGGCGGAAGCCUGAUGCAGCAACGCCGCGUGCGGGAUGACGGCCUUCGGGUUGUAAACCGCUUUCGCCCGUGACGAAGCGUGAGUGACGGUAAUGGGUAAAGAAGCACCGGCUAACUACGUGCCAGCAGCCGCGGUGAUACGUAGGGUGCGAGCGUUGUCCGGAUUUAUUGGGCGUAAAGGGCUCGUAGGUGGUUGAUCGCGUCGGAAGUGUAAUCUUGGGGCUUAACCCUGGGCGUGCUUUCGAUACGGGUUGACUUGAGGAAGGUUAGGGGAGAAUGGAAUUCCUGGUGGAGCGGUGGAAUGCGCAGAUAUCAGGAGGAACACCAGUGGCGAAGGCGGUUCUCUGGGCCUUUCCUGACGCUGAGGAGCGAAAGCGUGGGGAGCGAACAGGCUUAGAUACCCUGGUAGUCCACGCUGUAAACGGUGGGUACUAGGUGUGGGGUCCAUUCCACGGGUUCCGUGCCGUAGCUAACGCUUUAAGUACCCCGCCUGGGGAGUACGGCCGCAAGGCUAAAACUCAAAGGAAUUGACGGGGCCCCGCACAAGCGGCGGAGCAUGCGGAUUAAUUCGAUGCAACGCGUAGAACCUUACCUGGGUUUGACAUGGAUCGGGAGUGCUCAGAGAUGGGUGUGCCUCUUUUGGGGUCGGUUCACAGGUGGUGCAUGGCUGUCGUCAGCUCGUGUCGUGAGAUGUUGGGUUAAGUCCCGCAACGAGCGCAACCCUUGUUCACUGUUGCCAGCACGUUAUGGUGGGGACUCAGUGGAGACCGCCGGGGUCAACUCGGAGGAAGGUGGGGAUGACGUCAAGUCAUCAUGCCCCUUAUGUCCAGGGCUUCACGCAUGCUACAAUGGCUGGUACAGAGAGUGGCGAGCCUGUGAGGGUGAGCGAAUCUCGGAAAGCCGGUCUCAGUUCGGAUUGGGGUCUGCAACUCGACCUCAUGAAGUCGGAGUCGCUAGUAAUCGCAGAUCAGCAACGCUGCGGUGAAUACGUUCCCGGGGCU
rnacentral:rRNA from 1 species